rnacentral:lncRNA from 1 species
UCUUUUUUUUUUUCUUUUUUUUCUUUUUUGUAAUGCCCCAGUUGGCUGUUCUGCUGAUUCUCGAGAUGCAGCUGAGUGAUCUUCUUUUCUUGCUCAAGAAGUCGGGAAAUCUCGUCAGGAAUCCUUUCAACAUCAUCUUCCUCUACUUCGAAUACAGGGAAUUCAAAAUUGGGAGAUGGCGUUGGAUCAUUAUGUUCAAUGGGUUUAAGAAUCAACCUGCAUA